GUGCCUCCUCCACCCCUCCCCUUCGCCACCGCACCUGGUUUACUACACUUGCAGCUUUAUGACUUCACCUUCCUAACACCUAGCAGCGCUUGAUCUAUGACCUAACCUUGUUGCUAGGGCCAGAGUGGUUUGUGACAGCUUGGACACAGCAGUGGAGUUUGAAUUGGGGAGUGAUCAAAGAAAGCUGGGACUCACCUCACUGUUGCAGUUCAACCUGAUUCUACAGACAGGCCCAGGCAAUACUUAUCCAAAAGUACUCAGGACCCAUGCCAGCUUCUCUAAUCAAGCCUCCUGGGAGGUGAUGAAGGGAAACGUGUUUUCCUCAUACCUCCAGUUCAAGGUUUUUAAAGAUUGUUCCAACACUGAGACAUCCUGCUUGUUUGCAUGAUGAGUACUCUUCCAACUCGUUAAACCCAGUUUCUUGCCUGACCCUGCUCUGAGAGGCUGGCUUCUGUGGACUGCAUCACUCAUCCUUCACCCUCUGAGUCUGUUUGGUUUCAGCCAGUCUGGGAAGCAUUGGCAAAAGAUCGAAGGGAGGAGAGAGUCCAGAAUAUUUACUCCCUCCCUGUGACUGCUGCUUCAUCUUCCAUUAAGACCCGCAGCUCCUGUCAGAUACCUGUGUCUUGUAGCCAAGUUAUAGAACGGCUUAUCUCUCUCAAACCUUCAGGCCCAGAGAUGUC